UGCUCCUCCCCUGCCGCCGCCGCCUCGGGCUCGCUUGGUGCAGAUCGGGACCCUCCGCCCGCCCCCGCCGGGCCGGAUCCCGCCUUGCACCAAGUGAAUCGGAGCCGGCGCAGCGACUUUUUUUUACUUAAUUCCU